UACGUAGGGAGCAAGCGUUGUCCGGAAUCAUUGGGCGUAAAGCGCGCGUAGGCGGCCUCAUAAGUCCGUUGUGAAAGUCAAAGGCUCAACCUUUGAAAGCCGAUGGAUACUGUGAGGCUAGAGUCCGGAAGAGGCGAGUGGAAUUCCUGGUGUAGCGGUGGAAUGCGCAGAUAUCAGGAAGAACACCCGUGGCGAAGGCGGCUCUCUGGGACGGUACUGACGCUGAGACGCGAAAGCGUGGGGAGCAAACAGG
rnacentral:rRNA from 1 species